UUACUUUGACAAUUGGUAACUUAUUCGAUGCGUCCUUGGAAGGUUUUACUACGCUCGGAAAUAUGGCAGUAUCCUAUUUUAUGUUGAUGUAUCAGACCCAAUAAUAACAAAUUGCAGAGUUUAUUAUCAAUCAGAUGAAUUUUUAUCAGGUUGACAGAGUUGUAGAAUAUGUAUUUUAGAUUUGUUGAAUAUAAUGUGUUAAACAAG